UCUCGCAUCGAUGAAGAACGCAGCGAAAUGCGAUAAGUAAUGUGAAUUGCAGAAUUCAGUGAAUCAUCGAAUCUUUGAACGCACCUUGCACCCUUUGGCAUUCCGAAGGGUAUGCUCGUUUGAGUGUCAUUGUACUCUCACACUCCCAAUACUUUUGGAUUGGGAGCGGUGGACUUGGGUGUUGCUGCUUUACUGUGGCUCACCUCAAAUGGAGUAGUGCAACUCUCGGUUGGACAUAGUACGGCGUGAUAAGUGUCUUCGCCGGCGCCUCAUUAGAGGGUGGCCGAUCGGGAGCUCUGUGCUUCAAACCGUCUUCGGACAACAUCUGACAACUUGACCUCAAAUCGAGUAGGACUACCCGCUGAACUUAAGCAUAUCAAUAAGCGGAGGAAAAGAAACU
rnacentral:rRNA from 1 species